rnacentral:rRNA from 1 species
CUACGUGCCAGCAGCCGCGGUAAUACGGAGGAUGCGAGCGUUAUCCGGAAUCAUUGGGUUUAAAGGGUCCGUAGGCGGGCUGAUAAGUCAGAGGUGAAAGCGCUUAGCUCAACUAAGCAACUGCCUUUGAAACUGUCAGUCUUGAAUGAUUGUGAAGUAGUUGGAAUGUGUAGUGUAGCGGUGAAAUGCUUAGAUAUUACACAGAACACCGAUAGCGAAGGCAUAUUACUAACAAUUUAUUGACGCUGAUGGACGAAAGCGUGGGGAGCGAACAGGAUUAGAUACCCUGGUAGUCCACGCUGUAAACGAUGGAUACUAGCUGUUUGGAGCAAUCUGAGUGGCUAAGCGAAAGUGAUAAGUAUCCCACCUGGGGAGUACGCACGCAAGUGUGAAACUCAAAGGAAUUGACGGGGGCCCGCACAAGCGGUGGAGCAUGUGGUUUAAUUCGUUGAUACGCGAGGAACCUUACCAAGGUUUAAAUGGAGACUGACAGGUGUAGAGAUACG